GACGAACCGUGCGAACGUUGUUCGGAAUCACUGGGCUUAAAGGGCGCGUAGGCGGGCCAGCAAGUCAGGGGUGAAAUCUUCCAGCUCAACUGGAAAAGGGCCUUUGAUACUGUUGGUCUCGAGGGAGGUAGGGGCAUGCGGAACUUCCGGUGGAGCGGUGAAAUGCGUAGAUAUCGGAAGGAACGCCGGUGGCGAAAGCGGCGUGCUGGACCUCUUCUGACGCUGAGGCGCGAAAGCUAGGGGAGCAAACGGG
rnacentral:rRNA from 1 species